rnacentral:lncRNA from 1 species
GCGGGCCUCGGUGGGGCGGGCCUCGGUGGGGCGGGGCCUCUGUGGGGGCGGGGCGUAAAACCCACCUCUGACCCGCUGGAAACGCACCUGUCUCAGGUGCCCUCCGCUCCCACCUUAUGGCGGUUUCUCUGCGCUUUCAUCUCCAGGUUUUAUUCAAGAGGGCCCCCACACUCCCAGGUUGCUCUUCCAUGAGUGCAAGGACACAGUGUGGGGCACCAAGCUCAAGACGGCCCCUGGACCUGGAUGCCGGCAAACAGACCCAGGUGUGGGCGCCCUUCUUUCACACCAGCCGAGCACCUUGGCUCCCGAGAAAUGUGGCUGCAGCAGGAGAUCCCCGCUGUUAGCCCUGCCCCCACGACGGCCUGACUUCCAAGGUCUCCCCAAAUUUCCAAAUACAUUUUCUGGUGCCACCCAGCCUGAAAUUAAGCCAACUCCCAACAUAUUCUCCAAAUUUGGUGAAAAUCUAACCCUUUUCUUAGGACAAGACCAGAAAACUUGAUUUGUUUACGUGAUGGAAUGACUGCUCCAAGAUUGAUUAUGGAUUAUUUGCAUCAACAAAAGCAUGAAAAAAAUUUAAGCGAGGAAUCCCAGGCAGGAAAGAAACAGAAAUGCUUCCUCAUCAGUUUUAACAGCAAACAGUCUUUGAGUCACCAAGACCCUGAGGGUUCCUAGCUAAGGACUCAGACGGCUUACAGCGUCUAUCCCGCGUGGACUCUGAUUUUCUUCCAAGGUAACUGGGAGCCUGAGAAUUCCUUGAUCUGCUCUGCUAAUGGUGUCACAUGACGAUGAAGUGAGUCACUGUCAGCACACCUCUCUAAGCCUGACAAGCACCUGCCUGCAGUGAAGGAGGGACACAGCGCCUCCUGCAGACGGCGCCCUGUGGCUGCCCAUUCAUUUUGCUAUUCUCAGAAUUGCACUGCAAAGUGUUUUGUAGCUUUCAAAUUUUAAACAGUUCUUCCCGUGGGAUUUUAUUUCCCAAGAAAAGAAAUCUCUCGCAGGUGAUCUGACAGCUCCAAAUCUAUGAAGACAACGUGCUUGGUUUCCUCAGAUGCUACAUUAAAACCCGUCUCCGUUCAGAACUGGCCACAAUGUUAUCUUGUAUUCAGUCUGGAGGAAGAAAAUCAAGGAAAGGAGCAGGUGCUUCGGUGUAGCUCAUUUCCUUGGACAGCACUUCUUCCAUUCAGAUAGAGCUCCGUUGGUCCUUCCCCAACUGCACCCUGAUGAGCCAUUUCUGCCUGAGUCCCCACAGCGCUGUGAGCUCAGAAAGGCGGGCUGGGGGCUCGGGUCCUAUUCACGGCCCACUGCAGCGUUUGCUGGGUAUGAUCCCAUGUGAUCCGUACUAAACGUCGGAUGAAUGAACAAGAAUUCGCUCCUUCAAACCUGAGUCUCCACUGCCACUGAAGUUGUAUUUAAUAUUCUUAUUUGCAUUAUGCUUGGGUUCAAACGGAGGUGUUCCCCAUCACUCCCAGAGGCUCUCCCGCCUGCCAGGAGUCCCUGCUUCACCCAUAUCAGCGGCUCCAGCCAUUCUGGUGACUUUUCUGUGCUCCAGGAUCCCUCUUGUCUUAGUCUGUUUGGCUGCUGUAACAAAACACCAUAGACGGGGCAGCUUAAACAACAGACAUUUAUGUCUCACAGUUCUGGAGACUGGAAGUCUGAGAUCAGAGUGCCAGCAUGUUGGGUUCUGGUGAGGACCUGCUUCCUGCCUUGUAGACAGCUCCGUUCUCGCUCUGUCCUCCUGUGGUUUUUCCUGUGCAUAUGCUGGAGAGAGAGCUCCCUCUCUUCCUUUCCUUAUAAGGGCGCUAAUCCCAUCACGAGAACCCCACCCUCAGGACCUCUUCUGAACUAUCACCUCCCAAAGACCCCCCUCCCAAUACCAUCACACUGGGGGUUGGGGCUUCAACAGGCAUUUCAGGGAGGCACAGACAUUCAGUCUCUAACGCCUCCUGCUGAAGAGCCCGUGGUGGCCCGAGGAGGGCACUCCAUGCGAGGGCCUCUCCACUAGCUCCUCCCUGCUACUGGGCACCACUACCCAUUAGUGAGUAGGUUUCUGGAGGUCCGUCUACAAGAUGGCCCUGGAGAGAUUUCCCAAAUGGACCCACGGGGUUCUGCUUCAGAGUGGAGGAGGGAACUCCCACGAGAGGGACCCCCCAACCCCUCCAACAGAUGACAGUGAUAAACUUGGGACAGAAUGCGAAAAACGACUCCUGAGCUCUCUGAAGAGGAUGAAAACAGGACUACUUUGGAGGGGGGUGAAAACUUGCAGGGAGCACCCAGCAAGGUGCAGGUUCCCCUUUCUGCUGCUUUUCUCUGAGGACAAGCACAGUUGCAGUGUGGGGCAGGUGGCUAAACAUCUGAGGGAAAGGUCUCUCUGCCAUCUGUCUGGCUGGAGUGAGCAGGGAAGGAGUCCAGGGGAACCAGGGCAGCUGGACAGUGAAGGAGGAAGGCCAGGCAGGACAGCCAGACAGGGGCAACCCCAAAUCCUGUGUGUAAACUCUGCCCAAGCCUUGCUGACCCUCAGGCCACAUGCUUGGGGCAGACAGAGGCAGUCUACACUGAGACACAGAGCUGCAGUUAAGUUCACCACGUGAGUUGACCACUAAAAUGAAACCAUCAACACUCUUCAGAGAAUAUAACAGAAUUCAGAGUCUCCACAGCAUAACAUUCACAAUGUCCCAGAUAGAAUCUAAAAUUACUCAACCAGGAGAAUAUGACGUGCUCUGAAGGGAAACGACAGUCAACAGAGCCAGCCUCGAGAUGACCCUGACUCAUUGGAAUUGUCAGACAAUGACUUGAAGAAGCUAUUGUCACUACGCUUAGUUAGGCAAAUUCUCUCAUGAUGAGUGAGGCGAUAUGGAAUCUCAGCCGACAGAUAGCAAAUAUAGAAAAGAACCAAAUGGAAAUUUUAGAACUGAAGAAUAUAUCUGAAAAAAUUUUAAAAUCACUGGAAGGAGCUUAAUGGUAGGAUCAAGGUAAUGGAGGAAAGACGAAGUGAACUUGAAGACAGA